UACCCUCAGCUCAAGUGGUGGUCAUUAUUAUUGGGCCUAAAGCGUCCGUAGCUGGCUUGUUAGAUGCCUGGGUAAAUCGAUGCGCUUAACGCAUCGAAUUCCGGGUAGACCGGCAAGCUCGAGACCGGGAGAGGCGUGAGCUACUCGAGGGGUAGGGGUAAAAUCCUGUAAUCCUUCGGGGAGGACCAGUGGCGAAGGCGUCACGCUAGAACGGCUCUGACAGUGAGGGACGAAGCCCUGGGGCGCAAACCGG
rnacentral:rRNA from 1 species